GACGAACGCUGGCGGCGUGCUUAACACAUGCAAGUCGAACGGUAAGGCCCUUCGGGGUACACGAGUGGCGAACGGGUGAGUAACACGUGGGUGAUCUGCCCUGCACUUCGGGAUAAGCCUGGGAAACUGGGUCUAAUACCGGAUAGGACCAUGGACUUCACGGUUUGUGGUGGAAAGCUUUUGCGGUGUGGGAUGGGCCCGCGGCCUAUCAGCUUGUUGGUGGGGUAAUGGCCUACCAAGGCGACGACGGGUAGCCGGCCUGAGAGGGUGUCCGGCCACACUGGGACUGAGAUACGGCCCAGACUCCUACGGGAGGCAGCAGUGGGGAAUAUUGCACAAUGGGCGCAAGCCUGAUGCAGCGACGCCGCGUGAGGGAUGACGGCC
rnacentral:rRNA from 1 species